rnacentral:misc_RNA from 1 species
GAUGAAGAACGUAGCGAAAUGCGAUACGUAAUGUGAAUUGCAGAAUUCAGUGAAUCAUCGAGUCUUUGAACGCACAUUGCGCCCCCUGGUAUUCCGGGGGGCAUGCCUGUCCGAGCGUCAUUACAACCCUCAAGCUCAGCUUGGUGUUGGGCCCCGCCGCCCCGGCGGGCCCUAAAGUCAGUGGCGGUGCCGUCCGGCUCCGAGCGUAGUAAUUCUUCUCGCUCUGGAGGCCCGGCCGCGUGCCCGCCAGCAACCCCCAAUUUUUUUCAGGUUGACCUCGGAUCAGGUAGGGAUACCCGCUGAACUUAAGCAUAUCAAUAAGCGGAGGA